rnacentral:rRNA from 1 species
AGUGAACGCUGGCGGUAGGCCUAACACAUGCAAGUCGAACGGCAGCACAGUAAGAGCUUGCUCUUACGGGUGGCGAGUGGCGGACGGGUGAGGAAUACAUCGGAAUCUACUUUUUCGUGGGGGAUAACGUAGGGAAACUUACGCUAAUACCGCAUACGACCUACGGGUGAAAGCAGGGGAUCUUCGGACCUUGCGCGAUUGAAUGAGCCGAUGUCGGAUUAGCUAGUUGGCGGGGUAAAGGCCCACCAAGGCGACGAUCCGCAGCUGGUCUGAGAGGAUGAUCAGCCACACUGGAACUGAGACACUGUCCAGACUCCUACGGGAGGCAGCAGUGGGGAAUAUUGGACAAUGGGCGCAAGCCUGAUCCAGCCAUACCGCGUGGGUGAAGAAGGCCUUCGGGUUGUAAAGCCCUUUUGUUGGGAAAGAAAAGCAGCAGGUUAAUACCCCGCUGUUCUGACGGUACCCAAAGAAUAAGCACCGGCUAACUUCGUG